UCUUCUUCAUCUUUUGGUAAACAAAGUAUGAAUCAACCAUUAUGCUUUUGUGAAGUUGAAGCCCAAGUGAGAUACUCAUCUACUACAAGAAAUCCAGGAUGAUCCUUCUUAGGGUGUCCUAAGUACAACACAAAGUGGGUAGAGGGGGAUGAAUACAGGAAGUCCGAUCUUUGAGAAAUUCACAAUGAACUGUUAAGAACCAAGAAAGAGCUGAAGAAGAUACUCGACGAUAUC